rnacentral:rRNA from 1 species
CUACGGGACGCUGCAGUGGGGAAUAUUGGACAAUGGGGGAAACCCUGAUCCAGCAAUGCCGCGUGUGUGAAGAAGGCCUGCGGGUUGUAAAGCACUUUCGGUUGGGAGGACUGCUUCUAGCACUAAUAUUGUUGGAAGUUGACGUUACCUUCAGAAGAAGCACCGGCUAACUCCGUGCCAGCAGCCGCGGUAAUACGGAGGGUGCAAGCGGUAAUCGGAAUUACUGGGCGUAAAGCGCGCGUAGGCGGCUAGAUCAGUCGGGCGUGAAAGCCCCGGGCUUAACCUGGGAACUGCAUCCGAUACUGUCUAGCUUGAGUACAGGAGAGGAGAGUGGAAUUCCACAUGUAGCGGUGACAUGCGUAGAUAUGUGGAGGAACACCAAUGGCGAAGGCAGCUCUCUGGCCUGAUACUGACGCUGAGGUGCGAAAGCGUGGGGAGCAAACAGGAUUAGAUACCCCCGUAGUC